rnacentral:rRNA from 1 species
AUUGAACGCUGGCGGCAGGCCUAACACAUGCAAGUCGAGCGGAUGAAGGGAGCUUGCUCCUGGAUUCAGCGGCGGACGGGUGAGUAAUGCCUAGGAAUCUGCCUGGUAGUGGGGGAUAACGUCCGGAAACGGGCGCUAAUACCGCAUACGUCCUGAGGGUGAACGUGGGGGAUCUUCGGACCUCACGCUAUCAGAUGAGCCUAGGUCGGAUUAGCUAGUUGGUGGGGUAAAGGCCUACCAAGGCGACGAUCCGUAACUGGUCUGAGAGGAUGAUCAGUCACACUGGAACUGAGACACGGUCCAGACUCCUACGGGAGGCAGCAGUGGGGAAUAUUGGACAAUGGGCGAAAGCCUGAUCCAGCCAUGCCGCGUGUGUGAAGAAGGUCUUCGGAUUGUAAAGCACUUUAAGUUGGGAAGAAGGGCAGUAAGUUAAUACCUUGCUGUCUUGACGGUACCAACAGAAUAAGCACCGGCUAACUUCGUG